rnacentral:rRNA from 1 species
AAUCGAACCCGGAGAUAGCUGGUUCUCCUCGAAAUAGCUUUAGGGCUAGCCUCGUUUUAGUCUUAUGGAGGUAGAGCACUGAAUUUCCGCGGGGGCGUCAAAGCUUACCAAAGAAUAUCAAACUCCGAAUGCCAUGUAGAUGAUGAUCGGGAGUCAGACUGCACGAGAUAAGUUGGGCAGUCAAAAGGGAAAGAGCCCAGACCUGCAGCUAAGGUCCCAAAGUGCGUGUUAAGUGGAAAAGGAUGUGGGAUUUCGAAGACAACUAGGAUGUUGGCUCAGAAGCAGCCAUACAUUCAAAGAGUGCGUAACAGCUCACUAGUCGAGAGUCCCUGCGCCGAAAAUGUCCGGGGCUGAAACACAACACCGAAGCUGUGGAAUCAUACCUAGUAUGAUUGGUAGAGGAGCAUUCUUAAGACCGACGAAGCUGUACCGGUAAGGAGCAGUGGAGGGAUAAGAAGAGAGAAUGCCGGAAUGAGUAGCGAGAGGAAGGUGGGAAUCCUUCCGGCCGAAUAUCUAAGGUUUCCAGAGUAAAGCUGAUCUGCUCUGGGUAAGUCGGGGCCUAAGGCGAGGUCGAAAGACGUAGUCGAUGGAUAACAGGUGGAGAUUCCUGUACUAUGUGUACCCAGAAAUGUGGGGACGCAUGUGGAGAGCACGAGCCGGGAAAGAGAAGACCGGUACAAGCGGGGUAGGAGUAAGGACAGCAAAUCUUCCUUACAAUCCGAAGACGUAAUGUGGACCGAACCAAAGUAGGGAAGCGUGUGAGCCAUGUGCCAAGAAAAGCCGCUAUUGUGAUACACAUACCCGUACCGUAAACCGACACAGGUGGAUGAGGAGAGAAUCCUAAGGCCGACGGAAGAAGCAUUGUUAAGGAAUUCGGCAAAAUGACCCCGUAACUUCGGGAGAAGGGGUGCCUGCGAGAGCAGGCCGCAGAGAAUAGGCUCAAGCAACUGUUUAGCAAAAACACAGGUCUAUGCGAAACCGAAAGGUGAGGUAUAUGGGCUGACGCCUGCCCGGUGCUGGAAGGUUAAGAGGAGAGGUUAGCGCAAGCGAAGCUUUGAAUUUAAGCCCCAGUAAACGGCGGCCGUAACUAUAACGGUCCUAAGGUAGCGAAAUUCCUUGUCGGGUAAGUUCCGACCCGCACGAAAGGCGUAAUGAUUUGAGCACUGUCUCGACAAUGCAUCCGGUGAAAUUGAAGUACCAGUGAAGAUGCUGGUUACCUGCGCCAGGACGGAAAGACCCCAUGGAGCUUUACUCCAGCUUGAUACUGGGAUUCGGUAUUGCAUGUACAGGAUAGGUGGGAGGCUAGGAAGUGAUAACGCCAGUUGUCACGGAGCCGCUGUUGGGAUACCACCCUUGCAGUAUUGGAUUUCUAACCUGCACCCAUGACCUGGGUGGGGGACAAUGUCUGGCGGGGAGUUUGACUGGGGCGGUCGCCUCCGAAAGGGUAUCGGAGGCGCUCAAAGGUUCCCUCAGAAUGGUUGGAAACCAUUCGAAGAGUGCAAAGGCAGAAGGGAGCUUGACUGCGACACCGACGGGUGGAGCAGGUACGAAAGUAGGACUUAGUGAUCCGGUGGUAUAAAGUGGGAUUGCCAUCGCUCAACGGAUAAAAGCUACCCUGGGGAUAACAGGCUUAUCACUCCCAAGAGUUCACAUCGACGGAGUGGUUUGGCACCUCGAUGUCGGCUCAUCGCAUCCUGGGGCUGUAGUAGGUCCCAAGGGUUGGGCUGUUCGCCCAUUAAAGCGGUACGCGAGCUGGGUUCAGAACGUCGUGAGACAGUUCGGUCCCUAUCCGGCGUGGGCGUAGGAUAUUUGAGAGGAGCUGUCCUUAGUACGAGAGGACCGGGAUGGACGGACCACUGGUGUAUCUGUUGUCGACCAACGGCAUGGCAGAGUAGCCAAGUCUGGAAGGGAUAAACGCUGAAGGCAUCUAAGCGUGAAGCCCCCCUCAAGAUGAGAUAUCCCUCCUUCGGGAGUAAGACCCCUUGA